CACUCAGGCUUGAGUGCUCGUUCCUUUCUCAAUCCUCACUCCCCAACUCAGGCAUGUUCGUGAUGUGACGGCUGGACCGCCACAAGUGGCGCCCGAACAGGGACCAGAGUAUCAAGGGAUCCAGUGAAGGACACCGCAGAGAAGAACGAGGCCUCAACAAAAAGUUGUGGGUGAUCUUCUUGCAGCAAGCAGAGGAUAUAGAGGAGCUAUCUUAUCUGCAGAGGAGAAGAAAAAGAUUAAAAGAUGACUUCUUCCUACUCUCCGGAUGGGAGGAGAUAUCUGCUUGCAUUUCUGCUUUGUUUUAAUUCCAUUCUCACCCAGAAGAGUAUUUAUGGAAUCAGCCCCCUGACAUCAGGAGGGAGUGGAGGACAUAAAUCCAGACAUUCAAGAUCGGAUCGGCCUCUGAUGACCCACGAAUAAGAGGCGGCUCUCACCUCCUAUUCCCCGCGGGACGGGGUCCCCCCAGAGAGCCGCAACUGGCGCCCAACGUGGUUUACAGAGGUUACCGACUCCCGAUCGGACGGCAGAGAGACGACGAGUCCGGAGCCCGCCCGUCAGACACCAGGUAAGCCCCAUCCGGGUGGUGCAGGGUUGGG
rnacentral:lncRNA from 1 species